GUGUCAGCAGCCGCGCCGGUUAAACGUAAGGGGGGCGAGCGUUAUCCGGAUUUACUGGGCCGUAAAGCGCGUGCAGGCGGCCUUGGUAGGUUGGACGUGAAAGCUCUUGGCUCAACUGAGAGAGGUCGUUCAAUACCGCCAAGCUUGAGGGCGGAAGAGGGGAGCGGAAUUUCCCGGUGUAGUGGUGGAAUGCGUAGAUAUCGGGAGGAACACCCGUGGCGAAGGCGGCUCCCUGGUCCGCACCUGACGCUGAGACGCGAAAGCGUGGGGAGCGAACGGGAUUAGAUACCCCGGUAGUCCACGCCGUAAACGAUGGAUGCUAGGUGUAGGUGGUAUUGACCCCAUCUGUGCCGUAGCUAACGCGUUAAGCAUCCCGCCUGGGGACUACGGCCGCAAGGUUAAAACUCAAAGGAAUUGACGGGGGCCCGCACAAGCAGCGGAGCGUGUGGUUUAAUUCGAAGCAACGCGAAGAACCUUACCUGGGCUUGACAUGCACGUAGUAGUGAAGCGAAAGUGGAACGACCCUUCGGGGAGCGUGCACAGGUGCUGCAUGGCUGUCGUCAGCUCGUGUCGUGAGAUGUUGGGUUAAGUCCCGCAACGAGCGCAACCCUCGCUGUUAGUUACAUGUGUCUAACGGGACUGCCGGAAUAAAACCGGAGGAAGGUGGGGAUGACGUCAAGUCAGCAUGGCCUUUAUGUCCAGGGCUACACACACGCUACAAUGGUCGGUACAAUGGGCUGCCACACCGCGAGGUGGAGCUAAUCCUAAAAGCCGGCCUCAGUUCAGAUUGCAGUCUGCAACUCGACUGCAUGAAGGUGGAGUUGCUAGUAACCGCGCGUCAGCAAUAGUGCGGUGAAUACGUUCCCGGGCCUUGCACACACCGCCCGUCA
rnacentral:rRNA from 1 species